GCUUGAACAAGUGCUCACUCAUCAUAUCGCCGCUCGGAUAGUUGGUGUUUUUCUACCCUCUUAUAGUGCUUCGAAAGAUAGGUUAAUGUGGAUGUGGUCCUCCGAUCCGCUUCUGCAACUUUUAAAUAGAUUACAGUGUUUAAAUGUCUUGAUGGUAGUGCGGAUUGGUCCUUGGUCUGGCAAAAUGAUGCGCCACAUAUCCCCUUGCAGCUCCUCUCUUAGUUGCACCUCCA
rnacentral:lncRNA from 1 species